UCAAAAUUGCCCGCUUCUCUGUUCCUCUCUCUCUCUCUCUCUCUGGUGAUUCCACAUCUGGAUCUAGGGUUUUCCUCCAUGAAAAUUUCACCAGAUCUAUGAAGAUUCUGACCUCUCAGUUUACAUUAGGGUUUCACCAUUUCAAAACAUUUCAAAAUCGCCCGCUUCCCUGCUCCCCUCUCUCUCUCUCUCUUUCUCUCUCUCUGGCGAUUCCAGAUCUGGAUCUGGAUCUUGGGUUUUUCUCCAUGAAAAUUUCACUAGUGAAAAUGAAGAUUCUGACCUCUCAGUUCUGAUUUAGGGUAUUUUUGGUGUUAUUGCUACCUUCGUCAAGGGUCAUGGUUUAAGGAAUGCGUCACGUUUCUUCAGAGAUUCCAGUCGGAAUCCGUGCCGAGAUAAUGGAUGCUCUAGGGUUUAUGAAGGUUUGAUGAACUCUGCUGCGUGUACCAGCGAAACACAAAGAUCCUCUUUAAAUGGCUUCCGUAAGACGAUUAGGGUUCCGGCAUGCUGGACUGCCAUCUCUGUCAAAAAGGGUUCCUCAAAGAUAGUGGUUGUGGGUGGAAGACGAUGACACAAGCCUUGGUAAUUUCAGAUCUCUAUUGACCCUCACCCUAAAAUCAAAUCCAUGUUUACUCGACCUCCAUAUUUUGAGGGUAAAAGUGAAGAUGACUUCUUUGACAGGACUUAAAGCAAGUUGAAGUUUGCACCAGAUAAGGGGAAGCAUUUAGAUGGUAGGCUGGAAAUCCUUCCCACAAACUUGAUAUAAUGGCUCAGUGUGGCUAACAUUAAGUGCUGCUGACCCUUCAGGCUCUACAUAAUCUUGAUGUCUUAUAAGUGAGUCGUUACCGUAUUAUGAAUGUAUCUGGGUGACUCUGGCAUGCUCUCUUUGGAUUUUGUGUUGCACAUGAGAUCUGUGUGCUUCUGGGUUUUAACAGAGAUUUAAUUGGGAACCAGACUGAUUGUUGUGCUUCUGCGUUUUAUCUGAGAUUUGCGAUGGGCGCCAGUAUGUUCCAGUGAUUGUGCUUGCCGGAUUUUUGAUAAUUGUUGCUCGGAUCUAAAAUUGUGAAGGAGGAGUGCUUUUAGAUAGAAUACUUUCAAGGGGCAGAAAAUACACAGAAUAUGAUGCUAAGGGGGUGUUAAUACAAAUGUUGACAGUUGUUGCGUUUUGUCAUCUUCAAGGUGUUGUUCACCGGGACUUAAAGCCUGAGUUUCAUAAUGUCAAAUUGGCUAAAUUCCAAAUGCAGCUGUAUGUUACGAUGCAAAAGAGCUGAUGUUGUUGGGUCUCAGUUUUGGUCAACACUCUGCAAAAGGCACUAUCGAGAACUGGUUGCAUCAAAUUUGGCGGCAUCAUAUUGCAAAAUGGAAUUUGGCGGCAUCAUAUUGCAAAAUAGGCUACUGGUUUUGUGGGCUUAUCUUUCUGUUGAAGAAUUUGAGUCUGUGCUUGGGAUGACGCGAGAGGAGUUUUAUAAGUUGCCAAAAUGGAAACAAGAUUUGACUAAGAAAAAGGCGUCUCGCAUAAUACUUGCCCCCGAUGGAGAUGCGCCUGGUCAAGCCUUAGCUGAAGAGCUAUUAAAGGGUUACUCAACUUCAGAGAUUACUUCAGUGAAAUUAAUGCAUAUUACCAUCAAACCCUUGGUACGGAGCAUUUCAACCGGAUGGAAAGCAUUGGAGGAUUUAUAUAAUGUUGUGCCAGGAGAGUUGACCGUAGUCACCGGAGUACUCAAUUCAGGAAAGAGUGAGUGGAUUGAUGCAUUGUUAUGUAAUCUUAAUCGAAGCGUUGGUUGGAAGUUUGCACUCUGCUCAUUGACAACAUUAAAGAAUAUAAUAAACAUUAUCAUAUAAGUUACAUGUAUAGCACACUGAUAAGUGGUUGUAUUUUUGAUUCCCUACCACUGGUCAACAUGUUUAUCAAGGAACUCGGGUGCCUUUCAUAUUAUAAACCGGUGACGCGGGAAGGUGUAUACUCACAUCCAAACCCUUUAGUUGACUAUUAUAAACCGA